rnacentral:lncRNA from 1 species
CCAGGGGUGGAAUCGUGAUCCGACUGAGGGCUCUCCACCCUCGAAUUCAUCUUUCCAGGAAAGACAGGGCGGCUGGCCCAAGUGGCCCAUCCUACCGCCUGAUUCUGGUGUUUUGGUGAUGCUCUCUCCAGUUGCACCGAUGCCUGCAGCUGCUACUGCUGUUGUAUGGCCUGCACAGCUUCCGUGAGGCCUCUGACUUGC